CCUACGGGAGGCAGCAGUGAGGAAUAUUGCGCAAUGGAGGCAACUCUGACGCAGCCAUGCCGCGUGCAGGAAGACGGUCCUAUGGAUUGUAAACUGCUUUUAUACGGGAAUAAUUCCUGGUACGUGUACCGGGUUGAAUGUACCGUAAGAAUAAGGAUCGGCUAACUCCGUGCCAGCAGCCGCGGUAAU
rnacentral:rRNA from 1 species